rnacentral:rRNA from 1 species
CUCGGCAAAUUAUCCUCAUAAGUUUGACGAUAAGAGGAACCAAAAAAUAUAAUUUUCGGUAAAAGCCCUUCCUUUCACACAGAGAGCGGAGUCUCCCUUCCCCCUACGCUUUGCGGCCGGGAGGAAGAAAGUUGCUUCGUCCCCAAUAUUUAUAGAAGGGGGAGGGGCUUUAUUUACCGGUUUAUUAUUUCAACUUGGUCACUUUAUACUUGUUAAUUCUGUCUUGUGGGUAUUCUUCAAUAAAGUUUAAAUAUUAUUAAGAACAAUAUUUUUAUUUUAGUUGUUAAUUUCCGGUUUAAGAAAUAAAUAUGCCUUUCUUGCCUAAGCGUUUUCGAGCGUAAAGGUAAGAGGAGUUGUUUGUAUUUUUAAACGUAAGACAGUUAUUAAAUGAAUAAUGGCUAUCCCUUCUGGGAGAAUAAUAAAGUCAGCCAUGAUAAAUUAUGGUAAUUUGGUGUCACAGAAUCGGAGGCCUCGACUGUUUACUAAAAACACAAGAAUGUGCAAUGAUAAAAAUCAUAGUAUACGUUCUGAAAUUUGCUCGAUGCCAUUAAUAUAAAAGAGGUAAUAGGUAACUGUUACUAAUUGAAAAUCUGGUUAAUAGCGGUCUUAACUAUGAGGAUCCUAAGGUAGCGAAAUCAAUUGGCCAUUAAAUGUGGUCCGGUAUCAAUAAUGUAACGAAGGUCUCACUGUCUCUACAACUUGCUCAGUGAAAUUGAAUUACCCGUGCAGAUGCGGGUUACCCCCAGUGGGACGGGAAGACCCUAUGCAGCUUCUACUG